rnacentral:rRNA from 1 species
CCUACGGGUGGCUGCAGUCGAGAAUCAUUCACAAUGGGGGAAACCCUGAUGGUGCGACGCCGCGUGGGGGAAUGAAGGUCUUCGGAUUGUAAACCCCUGUCAUGUGGGAGCAAAUUAAAAAGAUAGUACCACAAGAGGAAGAGACGGCUAACUCUGUGCCAGCAGCCGCGGUAAUACAGAGGUCUCAAGCGUUGUUCGGAAUCACUGGGCGUAAAGCGUGCGUAGGCUGUUUCGUAAGUCGUGUGUGAAAGGCGCGGGCUCAACCCGCGGACGGCACAUGAUACUGCGAGACUAGAGUAAUGGAGGGGGAACCGGAAUUCUCGGUGUAGCAGUGAAAUGCGUAGAUAUCGAGAGGAACACUCGUGGCUCGACUACCCUUGUAGUC